rnacentral:rRNA from 1 species
AGUGAUGUAUGGAUUAGUGGCGGAUGGGUGAGUAACGCGUGGAUAACCUGCCGUAUACAGGGGGAUAACACUUAGAAAUAGGUGCUAAUACCGCAUAAGCGCACGGUUCCGCAUGGAACAGUGUGAAAAACUUCGGUGGUAUACGAUGGAUCCGCGUCUGAUUAGCCAGUUGGCGGGGUAACGGCCCACCAAAGCGACGAUCAGUAGCCGGCCUGAGAGGGUGAACGGCCACAUUGGGACUGAGACACGGCCCAAACUCCUACGGGAGGCAGCAGUGGGGAAUAUUGCACAAUGGGGGAAACCCUGAUGCAGCGACGCCGCGUGAGUGAAGAAGUAUUUCGGUACGUAAAGCUCUAUCAGCAGGGAAGAAAAGAAGUCCUUUGGAUUUUGGACGGUACCUGACCAAGAAGCCCCGGCUAACUACGUGCCAGCAGCCGCGGUAAUACGUAGGGGGCAAGCGUUAUCCGGAUUUACUGGGUGUAAAGGGAGCGUAGACGGCAGCGCAAGUCUGGAGUGAAAUGCCGGGGCCCAACCCCGGAACUGCUUUGGAAACUGUGCAGCUCGAGUGCAGGAGAGGUAAGCGGAAUUCCUAGUGUAGCGGUGAAAUGCGUAGAUAUUAGGAGGAACACCAGUGGCGAAGGCGGCUUACUGGACUGUAACUGACGUUGAGGCUCGAAAGCGUGGGGAGCAAACAGGAUUAGAUACCCUGGUAGUCCACGCCGUAAACGAUGAUUACUAGGUGUCGGGGAGCCAAGGCUCUCCGGUGCCGCCG